rnacentral:rRNA from 1 species
GCUCAAACAGGACAGCACGAUAGGCGACGCCGGACGCAGCUUCCUCUUCUUUUCUUCGCGUCGCCCUCCAACCCCACCCACCGCCGCCGCCACCCAGCACCACAAACCCGCACGAUCCCUCUCCGCGUCCUUGGUCGCCGACUUCCGAUAAGCUUCGACGCCGCGCACGCACGAGCUAGCGCAAAGCUCCAGCAUAUCAUCCCCAAUUUCGGAAGUCCGAUCCCCGGUUCGAUCCAGAACACCCUUUUUUUCUAGGGUUUGGUUUUGGCCGUGGAUCUAGGGUUUGGUGAGCCAAUUUUCCCUCGAUUCCCUUCGAUUGCUGGGAUUUGUUGUGCCUGCGCAUCAUGGCCGCGGGGCGCCACGGAGGAUACAGUGGUUACGAGGUGUCGAAGGAGCGGGAGUUCGAUCCGGAGGCUUCUAGAAGGGGCAAGGAUUACCAUCACCGCAACCCUAGCCGCCACCGCGACUCAGAUCGUCGUCGUGAUGGCGGCCGGAGCAGGGACCGGGAGACGUCAAAUGGGCACACCCGCCACCGGUCGCCACAUCUGCCACCGAAGAGCCGACCGUCAGGGAGGAGGGAGGAGAGGGAGCCCGGCGAGGUUUCAAGCGGAAGUGGCUCGGAAGAGUCUCGUGGGCGGCCGCUCAAGGCAAGGGAACCUGGUGUGAAUGGUGUUGUUGGGGUCAGCAGGGAGGGCGGGGUGCCGUCCCCAAGUAAGAAGCGAAAAUACUCGCCGGUUAUUUUGGAUAGGAAUGCUUCAAAGCCUCGCGUCCAAGAUGUUGGCAACCCGAGCAUGAAAGAGGUAGGCACUGUGGUUGCCAACCUCCCAGAUGUUGGCAACCUGAGCAGCAUUGAUUUGGAUGCGUCGGUUGAUGUACAAAAUGUUGAAAGAUUACAGGAGCACGACAAUGAUAGGGUUAUUAUGGAGGAGGAUGAGGAGGAGGAUGCUUAUCCAACAAUGAUAAACAUUAGGACUUCACGAUGGGCAGAUGCUGAUGACAAGGAAGAAAUUGCGUCAAAGAAGAAAAGCGUGUCACCAGAACAAGGGUCCGUGAAAAAGGUUACAAGCCCAGAGCUUGGAAAGUUGAUGGUGGAUAAAGACUCAAACUCCUCAGUGUCUUCUGACUCUGGCGUAGUACAGUUUAGUGCAAACAGGGAUCUUGAAGUAGAUAAGGGUGACUACAUGGAUAUCGAGAAGGAUGCUGGGGAUGAUUCUUCUGCUCUUUGUGGGAUGCGCACUGAUUCUGAGAGUCAUCGGUGUAGCUCUAGAACCCCAGAGCCCGCAGGGUCGCCGCAUAGGUGCAUUAACAUGCUUCAGGGUUGUAGGGGUGUUGACGAGUUUGAGAGGCUCAACACAAUUAAUGAGGGUACAUACGGUAUUGUAUCUAGGGCAAAGGAUAAGAAAACUGGUGAGAUUGUUGCAUUGAAGAAGGUAAAGAUGGAGAAUGAACGGGAAGGUUUCCCACUGACUUCUCUCAGGGAAAUAAAUAUCCUGCUAUCGUUCCAUCACCCUUCGAUUGUGGAUGUCAAGGAAAUAGUCGUUGGGAGUGGUGACAGCACCUAUAUGGUGAUGGAGUACAUGGAGCACGAUCUCAAGGCUGUCAUGGAGACCAUGAAACAACCAUAUAGUCAAAGCGAGGUCAAAUGUUUGAUGCUUCAGCUGCUAGAAGGUGUGAAGUAUCUUCAUGACAAUUGGGUGAUUCACAGGGAUCUCAAGACGUCUAAUAUUCUCUUGAAUAACCGCGGUGACUUGAAAAUAUGUGAUUUUGGGCUCUCUCGUCAAUAUGGCAGCCCACUAAAGCCUUACACUCAAUUGGUUGUGACUUUGUGGUACAGGGCUCCAGAACUACUGUUAGGUGCAAAGGAAUAUUCCACUGCUAUUGAUAUGUGGUCGUUGGGUUGUAUUAUGGCAGAACUCCUUUCAAAAAAGCCACUGUUUGAUGGGAAACGUGACAUCGACCAACUUAGUAAGAUAUUUAGAAUGCUUGGUACACCUAACGAGGACAUAUGGCCUGGUUAUUCUAAAUUACCGGGCGCCAGGGCCAAAUUUGCCAAACAACCGUACAAUAGAUUAAGGGAAAAGUUUCCAGCUGUAUCUUUCACUUGUGGGCUGACCCUGUCAGAGGCUGGAUUUGACCUGCUAAACAGAAUGCUGACGUAUGACCCUGAAACGCGCAUAUCAGCAGAGGAUGCGUUGAACCAUGAAUGGUUCUGUGAAGUACCAUUGCCUCAGUCAAGGGAUUCUAUGCCAACAUUUCAUUCCCUUAAUGAACAAGACAGGCGCAUGAUGAAACGUAUGAAGAGCCCUGAUCCUCUGGAGGAGCAACGAAUGAAAGAACUGGGGAGCAUACACGACCGUGGAAUUUUUGGCUGAGCCCUGAUCUUUUGGUUUGCUGCAGAUGCCAAUUUUCAACAUGAACCUCUGGAAGUGCACGUGUUCCAAGGUCAGACGUCCACUGGAUAUAUGAAGUACAUCGUCUUCUUGGUGUCUGGCGAGUGGCGACAGUUGGUGGCCUUCUUUAGCAGGCAUGGAUGCAUAAUCAGAAGGGGAUAAGAUUUCUCCUUAUAUUCCGUGCUAGGCACUAUUUCAUUUACAGGGUUAGCUCUUCCCCAACUUCUGGUCACAAUGAACUCUUACUUUACUUUUGGUCACAAUCUAAUCCACUGUGCAUUGUAAGGUGUGCAAAUAUCUCAUACAGCUACAUCGUAUGGUCUGGCCUAUUCACAGCUAUUGGGUACACCAGUUUCACAUACCGAUCUUCUGUAUGUAAAGUACUAUAAAGUGUAUUCCUUGUAAACAACAAUCAAUGAGAUCUUCUCACUUCAUUUUUCCUUGUUAAGCACAUUUUAUUUUGAUCUUUGCAUUUUCUCUGCAAGAGAUGAAUGAAGCGAAGAAGGGGAGUACCUUUUGCUUUUUCGCGAGGAAACUGAUGCAUAGUAAUGCAAAUUGUAAGCUUAAGCUGUGGCUUUCAAGACAGGAAGCUCGAGUGCUGUCAGCUUACCUUGCUUAAUUGACUUUCUUUGUGGAAGGUAUCCAAGCUCUGUUACUCUUGUCAAUCUUAGUUGGUCACUAUACUAUCCUAUCUUGGUAUGUUUUCUUGCUAGUAGUUUUCUUUGGUAACUGAUUACCAUUUCCUUGGUUGACAAAUAUAUUAUUUUUAAAUAUGUUCAGAGUUCAGGCGAUCUCAUCUUUAACUUAAUAUUGCUACAUGAUCCCUUGAAGAGUUGCCUGUUCUCUGGUUCUAUAUUUCCGAAGAUGCACGCCAUUGUCAUGAAAUGCUGCACUUUAUAAUUUGAUAAAAAAUUGUGGAUUCCGUAUGCUUUGCUUACUACAGGAAAACUGACAGGUGCUGGUAGAAACAAGACUAGUUUUCAUUUAAAUAAAUCAUGUUUAGUUUCCUUAAUGUUGUGAUAAUUUACCUACGGAUGCCUUGUAGUUAUCAGUUCAUUUUUAUUUAAUCCCUGUCAACCAUGUGCCCCCACCCACCAGUGGACAUGAUGAUUCUUUGUUGAACAUUUGUUGGAUAAUUCCAGUAGUUAGUUAUUUGCAGCGACCUAUUAAUUGCUCUCUCUCAAGUACUCCCUCCGUUCCAGAAUAUAAGGUGUAUUGUUUUCCAUGCAAGUCAACCAUCUGAAUGUUUGACCAAGAUUAUAGAAUAAAAUAACAACACAUGCAAUACCUAAUAGAUAAAAUAUGAAACUACUUUUCAUGAUGAAUCAAAUGAUAUAAAUUUUGUAUUGCGAAUAUUCAUAUAUUUUUCUAAAAACUCAGUCAAACAUGCACUCGUUUGACUUUUGGAAAAAACAGAUACACCUUAUAUAAAGGAAUGGAGGGAGUAGAUAGUACCACCGGUGGAGAAGAGAGCCCUGUUUUUUUAUAGAUAUGGCUCUUUUGUACUGAAUUCCUUGCCCCACUUCUGAAUGCAAUGCUUAUCAGUACUAAAAAAACCAGAACACAGACCCGUACAUUUUGUUCUUUUGGCGAGGGGUAUUCUGUUGUUGUGGUAUUUGGAUUAUGUAUACACAGUUUAGACAUCUCUUCAAAUUGCUACAAAUCGGUAACUUAUGUAGUGGUCAGAACUAACCUAGAUAAGGGCGGAGUGAAACAAGUUUUAAGUGCAAAUGAAGUGCUGGCUCUUGCCACUGUUGCGCCUAAUCGGGCUGCUUGUUAGCUAUUUCUGUCUUUGCUGCUUGCGACUUGGGCGGCAUGCUGGCUUGUGCCGGUACAGACGGAGAAAGAAAUAGGAGUGAGAUUCAGCCAAGUGGGAUGUUGAUAUGAUGUUUAUGUUCGCAUCGAGACAGCUCUCUCUCAAGUAAAUGGUACCAAUGGUGGAGAAGAGAGCCCUGUUUUUAUAGAUAUGACCUUUUGCAUUGAAAUUCCUUGCCCCACUUCUGAAUGAAAUGCUUAUCAGUAUUAAGCAAAAUCAGAACACAGAUCCAUUUAUUUUGUUCUUUCAUCGAGUGGUAUUUAUAGAGUUCAGAUCUGUCGAAAUUUCUACAAAGAUGGUAACUUAUGUAGUGGCUCUUGCCACCGCUGCGCCUCAUUGGGUGCAGCUCGUUAGCUAUUUCUGUCUUUGCUGCCAGCGACUUGGGCGGCCUGCUGACUUGUGCAGGUACCGAAAGGGAAAAGGGAAUAUGAGUGAGAUUCAGGCAAGUGAGAUGUUGAUGCGAUGCUUGUGUUUGCAUCGAGACAGAAACAAAGAAGCUCUAUUGUGAGUGCUGGACCGAACUGUUUAUGGGUUCUGACUUGCAUAUCCUUCAUGAGUUCCUAGAAGAAAUCAUGUACCAAUCUAUUAUUUUCUAUCCUUGUUUUCUACUCCCUCUGUUACAAAAUAAGUGUCGUGGAUUUAGUUCAAAUUUGAACCAUGUCAGUUAUUUUGGAACAGAGUAUUUGUAUAAGUUGAUUGUAUUGUGUUAGUUUAGAUAGAAGACUGUUAAGUCGUGUUCAUAGUGGGCCAUCUAAAAGUUGAUGGUCUUAAACUUCUUUAGUGGCACUUCAUCUUUAGUUAUCAGUUACAGUGUGGUAAAUAUUUUACUGGACAGUUCAUUGAAAUAUCUUUUCUUAUUCCGUGAAUGCAAGAUCAUUGUCAAAGGCAUGCCUGUAUUCCGUGAAUGCAAGAUCAUUCUCAAAGGCAUGCCGGUUUCCAGCGCAUCCUCUUGGUCAGUUGUUGCAGACGAAAUGCCUGCAGCAGAGCAUUCUACUAUGAACCUUAUUGACCUUUUCAGAACAAAUUAGCACAUACAUUUUGAAUAGAAAUGCUAUCUAACAUCGUUAACCAUUUCUCUCUUUUGCUGUCGUUUAAGUCAAGGGUCAAUUCUGCUGUAGCCUGAGUUUUUGAAUGAAAGUGCUGAAAUUUUGAUCAAAUAAGUUUGGCUUGGAAGCCUUGUAAAGCAUGGGAAGGUCUGGUUCAGUAUCUGAUAAUCUGCUCAGCUAGACACUUAAAUAUGUACUAUCGAAACUGCCUCCUUUCACGCGAACAUUUCAAAUAGAAAUGCUAUCCAGCUUCGAUAGGCAUUUCUCUAUUUUUGUUGUCGUUAGGUUCAAGGAUCAAUUGUGCUGUAGCCAGAGUUUUUAAAUGAAGUGUUUAAAGGUUUUGAUCAAAGUUUGGCUUGGAAGCCUUUUAAAGCAUCGCUAAGGUCAGGUCCAGUAUUUGAUAAUCUUGGACUAUCGAGAACUGCCUCCAUUCAUGAUGUAUGUGCAUUUGAUUUUGACAGUAAAUAUCUUGAUUCCUACUCAAUAAUUCAAGAUAUCACCUGAGCCUGCCCCCGAUGCAAUUUUUAUUGCAUGUUUUGCAGGUUCACGUUUGGGAAUCAGAGUGUAUUAAUCAUUAUUCUGUGUGGAUUAUGGUUUGUUAGCAGUGUUAACAUAUGAUCAUGAAUAGUAAGGUGGAGAAGUGCUCUUUUAUUACUAGCUUUUAUUGUAUUUUUGGUUGCACCACCUGUGCAUCUGCCAGAUUGUCUCCAACUGGAUUUGCCUGUCCUAACCCAUCGUACACUAAUGUCUGCAUAUGAAGGAUAAAAUCACCUCGGUAACUAAAUAUGAGACUUCUUUUUAGUUCAAUUUGAACUGCAAAAACGUCUUAUGUUUAGUUGCAGAGGUAGCAUUAACUUGUACUCCAGUUUAUUUUAUGUAUAUGCCCUUCCUAACCCUGUGCACAGCAACAAUGGAGUUUUUUUUUUUUUUUUGAACACUGGAAAUACUAUUGAUCAACAACAACGUACAUAUACAAGUGUGCACUGGAGUACUUCAGUGAGCUUCGCUACAUCUGCAUUAAGGCAAGAUAUGUUGCCUGCACAUAAACACAUAAACCUGAAAGGAGAAUUCUGGAUUUUGAGUGCUAGCCUAGCUUGAUGAUGUGCUCGAAAAUUAUAGCUCCUGUUGACAUGGUAGAUCCUGGUAGCAUCAAAAGUCGGAGAGGUUGUAAUGUAAGCAAGUUGAGGCCUAAGUUGUCGCCAGAGUCGCGUUGUCCGUCAGAAAAGUAACCUGUUGAAGCUGAAGCAAUUCUGCUAUCUUGGAUGCAAAGAAGCUUCUGCGGUCUCUCUGGCUUCUGACCAUUUGUGUUCUAUCAGACAAAAAAACCCUAAAGUGUUGCAAGAGUGCCUGCUGAUGUAUUGUUUCUUUUACCUCUUAGGGUUAUGGCUGUAUCUAUCUAAAUUUGGUAAGUGAUGUGGUGUCAAGAUGAGUACAGCUUGUUUUCUUUUUCCUGUAACGUGGUAACAAUGAAUAGUUCCUGACAGUUUUGCUGUCUGAGAUUUCGGAUAAUGUGCAGCUGAUUCACCUGAAAAUUUGUAUUCAUGAGAUAAAGCGAUAUAAUUUGUUUGUAGCGGGCUUUGCUAGCGAC